AUGGGAUUAAAGACAAGAUUUGGAACAAACAGAACACAUUUUCUCUCUCUGCUUUUUAACGCUCCUUUCAACUCUCUGAUAUCCAUCAAUCUCUCUUCAAAUUGUUUCAUGCUUACACUACUUCAUCAUUUUUCUCUCUCAAAUUGUUUAACAGUAAGAGAAGAAUCUCUCUGUUCCUCUACGAUUUUCUCAACUCGAAACACAGACUAA